GAUCAUGGCUCAGGAUGAACGCUAGCUACAGGCUUAACACAUGCAAGUCGAGGGGAAACGACAUCGAAAGCUUGCUUUUGAUGGGCGUCGACCGGCGCACGGGUGAGUAACGCGUAUCCAACCUGCCCGUCACGUUGGGGAUAACCUUGCGAAAGUAAGACUAAUACCCGAUGAUAUCCCUAGAAGACAUCUGAAAGGGAUUAAAGAUUUAUCGGUGAUGGAUGGGGAUGCGUCUGAUUAGCUUGUUGGCGGGGUAACGGCCCACCAAGGCGACGAUCAGUAGGGGUUCUGAGAGGAAGGUCCCCCACAUUGGAACUGAGACACGGUCCAAACUCCUACGGGAGGCAGCAGUGAGGAAUAUUGGUCAAUGGGCGAGAGCCUGAACCAGCCAAGUAGCGUGCAGGAAGACGGCCCUAUGGGUUGUAAACUGCUUUUAUAGGGGAAUAAAGUGAGCCACGUGUGGUUUUUUGCAUGUACCCUAUGAAUAAGGACCGGCUAAUUCCGUG
rnacentral:rRNA from 1 species